GAUGAACGCUGGCGGCGUGCCUAAUACAUGCAAGUCGAGCGAACAGACGAGGAGCUUGCUCCUCUGACGUUAGCGGCGGACGGGUGAGUAACACGUGGAUAACUUACCUAUAAGACUGGGAUAACUUCGGGAAACCGGAGCUAAUACCGGAUAAUAUAUUGAACCGCAUGGUUCAAUAGUGAAAGACGGUUUUGCUGUCACUUAUAGAUGGAUCCGCGCCGCAUUAGCUAGUUGGUAAGGUAACGGCUUACCAAGGCAACGAUGCGUAGCCGACCUGAGAGGGUGAUCGGCCACACUGGAACUGAGACACGGUCCAGACUCCUACGGGAGGCAGCAGUAGGGAAUCUUCCGCAAUGGGCGAAAGCUUGACGGAGCAACGCCGCGUGAGUGAUGAAGGUCUUCGGAUCGUAAAACUCUGUUAUUAGGGAAGAACAAAUGUGUAAGUAACUAUGCACGUCUUGACGGUACCUAAUCAGAAAGCCACGGCUAACUACGUG
rnacentral:rRNA from 1 species